GCAAUUAAUAGUUAUUAUUUUUUAUCAAAAAUAAUAAUUAUUAAAUUGAUAGGGUUGUUGAGUGUUGAAUUUCUUCUAGACCGUUUAUUUAUUUAUUUCCAAGCUUUGUUGUGUUAACUUGCAUAAUAUUUUAUCUACUAUUCUUAUUUAAGUUUGAUUUAUUUUCAAGAAACCCUUGCAUUUCUUUUAGAACAUGUUCAGUGGAGUUUGUAGCUUUUCUAAGACUUGUACCUCUUUUUUUUUUUUUUUGCUUUCUAAACGUGUUAAUUGUUGGAAAAUUGCACCCUAUAUACAUGAAAAAAACAUAAAUACACUAACUAACCAAAAUUUUCCCCUCUCUCUUACUUUUUCUUCCUAUCUCUCUCUACUCUCUCUCUCAAAAUCUAAUUUUUCAUUUUUUUUUGUUAUUCGGCAAAUAAACCCAUAAUUGUUUAUAUGUAUCUACUUUUCACGACUCAAUGUAACAUGUUUAUUUAAUCAAACCGCAAGUUCAAUAUUACACAAAAAGCCAAUCUAAUAAAUUUCCGAAGCAACUUUAAAAAAUAUAUAUUUAUUUUAGGAUAUGAUAAUACAAUUAGCUUGGAAAAAAAUAGAUUUGUUCGUGUUAGUGUUGAAAACUUUUCAUAUGCGAUUUGUUAAUGAUGUUUUUGCAGAUAUAGCAAAUUUUACUGGUAAG
rnacentral:lncRNA from 1 species